GAGAACCAAGAUAUCCAUUGUCAACAGUUGUUCGUUUUGUGGGCCCGUAGUUUGCAAGCCCGACUUUCACAAUACCGGGGUUAAUAUGGGGAGCUGAAGCCCCAGACCUGUCCGUUGACCGUGAGGGUCAACGACCUGAUCAGUUAUCCUUUCGGAAACCAAGUCUAUUUGCUCUAUCGUUCAAGGUUUCCGUAGGUGAACCUGCGGAAGCAUCAUUAACAGUAUCCAACGUUAAAAACCCCGUGCAUUUUAACCCUGCUCUCUUGCAAUCUCUGGUAAAUCAUAGCAUGCGAACAGUUUGAUUCAGAGACUUCUUUAAGGCGUGGGGAUGGCACGACUUUU
rnacentral:misc_RNA from 1 species